rnacentral:rRNA from 1 species
UACGGGGGGGGUAAGCGUUGUUCGGAAUUACUGGGCGUAAAGGGCUCGUAGGCGGCCAACUAAGUCAUACGUGAAAUCCCUCAGCUUAACUGGGGAACUGCGUCUGAUACUGGAUGGCUUGAGUGCAGGAGAGGAACGCGGAAUUCCAGGUGUAGCGGUGAAAUGCGUAGAUAUCUGGAGGAACACCGGUGGCGAAGGCGGCGUUCUGGACUGCAGCUGACACUGAGGAACGAAAGCCAGGGGAGCAAACGGG